rnacentral:rRNA from 1 species
CCUUGAUGACGACUGGCGCACGGGUGAGUAACGCGUAUCCAACCUUCCCAUAACUACGGGAUAACCCGUUGAAAGACGGCCUAAUACCGUAUGAUAUCGUUUGCUGACAUCAAAUAACGAUUAAAGGUUUAGCGGUUAUGGAUGGGGAUGCGUCUGAUUAGCUUGUUGGCGGGGUAACGGCCCACCAAGGCAACGAUCAGUAGGGGUUCUGAGAGGAAGGUCCCCCACAUUGGAACUGAGACACGGUCCAAACUCCUACGGGAGGCAGCAGUG